rnacentral:misc_RNA from 1 species
UAAGGAGGCGUAUAGUCAGCUGCCAUUUUUUUGUGAAAAAGUGAUGGAGACAAAUCCUGGAAGUCUUGCAACUUUCACAACAAAGGAUGACUCAAGCUUUCACAGGCUCUUUGUAUCAUUUCAUGCUUCACUCUAUGGCUUUGAACAAGGCUGCAGGCCCCUGCUUUUCCUUGAUAGUAUAUUUUUGAAGUCCAAAUACCAAGGCACUCUGUUAGCAGCAACAGCUGCUGAUGGAAAUGAUGAUGUUUUUCCUGUUGCUUUUGCCAUAGUAGACUCAGAAUCUGAUGAUAACUGGCAUUGGUUCCUAUUACAGCUUAGAACUGCAUUGUCAAUGUGUCGUGGUAUUACCUUCGUGUCUGAUAGAGAGAAGGGGCUUAGAGAGUCAAUUGCUGAAAUAUUUCAG